AAGGCACUAGGGUGGCCCCACAAGUCCUUAGUGGGCUGGUGGAGUCAGCCCAAGGGGCCCAUGACGCCACAUAAGAAAAUACCACAGGAAAAUAAAAGAAAAAAGGAAAGAGGGAGGUAGGAAGGAAGAGGAGGACUCAUCCUUCCUAAACCGAAUUGGAGGAGGAGUCCUCCUCCUCCCCUUGGCCGGCGCACCUUGAGGGCUUGUCCCUCAAGGCUAGCCCUCCCCCUCCCUCCUAUAUAUAGUGGUGUUUUAGGGCUGAUUUGAGAUAACUUUUGCCACGUGCAACUUAACCCUAGACCACAUAGUUCUACCUCUAGAUCGGAUUUCUGCGGAGCUCGGGCGGAGCCCUGCAGCAGUAGAUCAUCACCACCACCGGAGCGCCGUCACGUUGUCGGAGAACUCAUCUACUUCUCCGUCUUGCUUGCUGGAUCAAGAAGGCCGAGAUCAUCGUCGAGCUGUACGUCUGUUGAACGCGGAGGUGCCGUCCGUUCGGCGCUAGAUUGGAAUGGAUCAUGGAACGGAUCGCGGGACGGUUCGAGGGACGUGAAGANNNNNNNNNNNNNNNNNNNNNNNNNNNNNNNNNNNNNNNNNNNNNNNNNNNNNNNNNNNNNNNNNNNNNNNNNNNNNNNNNNNNNNNNNNNNNNNNNNNNUUAUAUGAUCUCAUGGUCAUAGGAAUAAAUACUUGACACGCAGAAAACAGUAGCAACAAAAUAACACGGUUAACAUGCUACGUCUAUUAGUUUGGGUCUAGUCCAUCACGUGAUUCUCCCAAUGACGUGAUCCAGUUAUCAAGCAACAACACCUUGUUCAUAAUCAGAAGACACUGACUAUCAUCGAUCAACUGGCUAGCCAACUAGAGGCAUGCUAGGGACGGUGUUUUGUCUAUGUAUCCACACAUGUAAAUGAGUCUUCAUUCAAUACAAUUAUAGCAUGGAUAAUAAACUAUUAUCUUGAUACAGGAAUUAUAAUAAUAACUAUACAUUUAUUAUUGCCUCUAGGGCAUAAUUCCAACAGUCUCCCACUUGCACUAGAGUCAAUAAUCUAGCCCUCACAUCACCAUGUGAAUUACAUUGUAAUAAAUCUAACACCCAUACAGUUCUGGUGUUGAUCAUGUUUUGGCCGUGGAAGAGGUUUAGUCAGCGGGUCUGCUACAUUCAGAUCUGUGUGCACUUUGCAUAUAUUCACGUCCUCUCCCUCGACGUAGUCGCGGAUGAGGUUGAAGCGUCAUUUGAUGUGUCUGGUCUUCUUGUGAAACCGCGGUUCCUUUGCUAAGGCAAUGGCAGCAGUGUUGUCACAGAACAAGUUUAUUGGAUUCAGUGCGCUUGGCACCACUCCAAGAUCCGUCAUGAACUGCUUCAUCCAGACACCCUCCUUAGCCGCCUCCGAGGCAGCCAUGUACUCCGCUUCACAUGUAGAAUCUGCUACGACGCUUUUCUUGGAACUGCACCAGCUUACUGCACCCCCAUUAAGAAUAUAUAUGUAUCCGGUUUGCGACUUAGAGUCGUCCGGAUCUGUGUCAAAGCUUGCAUCGACGUAACCUUUUAUGGCGAGCUCUUCGUCACCUCCAUACACGAGAAACAUCUCCUUAGUCCUUUUCAGGUACUUCAGGAUAUUCUUGACCGCUGUCUAGUGAUCCACUCCUGGAUUACUCUGGAACCUACCUGCCAUACUUAUGGCCAGGCUAACAUCCGGUCUAGUGCACAGCAUCGCAUACAUGAUAGAACCUAUGGCCGAAGCAUAGGGGACGGAGUGCAUAUGCUCUCUAUCUUCAUCAGUUGCUGGGCACUGAGUCUUACUCAAUCUCGUACCUUGUAACACUGGCAAGAACCCUUUCUUGGACUGUUCCAUUUUGAACCUCUUCAAAACUUUAUCAAGGUAUGUGCUUUGUGAAAGUCCUAUCAGGCGCUUUGAUCUAUCCCUAUAGAUCUUAAUGCCUAGAAUGUAAGCAGCUUCUCCUAGGUCCUUCAUAGAGAAACUUUUAUUCAAGUAACCUUUUAUGCUCUCCAAAAGCUCUACGUUGUUUCCAAUCAGUAAUAUGUCAUCCACAUAUAAUAUUAGAAACGCCACAGAGCUCCCACUCACUUUCUUGUAAAUACAAGAUUCUCCAACCACUUGUAUAAACCCAAAUGCUUUGAUCACCUCAUCAAAGCGUUUGUUCCAACUCCGAGAUGCUUGCACCAGUCCAUAAAUGGAUCGCUGGAGCUUGCACACCUUGUCAGCAUUUUUAGGAUCGACAAAACCUUCGGGUUGCAUCAUAUACAACUCUUCCUUAAGGAAACCGUUAAGGAACGCCGUUUUGACAUCCAUCUGCCAGAUUUCAUAAUCGAAAAAUGCAGCUAUUGCUAACAUGAUUCUGACGGACUUAAGCAUCGCUACGGGUGAGAAAGUCUCAUCGUAGUCAACUCCUGGAACUUGUGAAAAACCCUUUGCCACAAGUCGAGCUUUAUAAACGGUCACAUUACCGUCAGCGUCCGUCUUCUUCUUAAAGAUCCAUUUGUUCUGAAUAGCCUUGCGGCCCUCAGGUAGUAUCUCCAAAGUCCACACUUUGUUCUCAUACAUGGAUCCUAUCUCGGAUUUCAUGGCUUCUAGCCAUUUGUUGGAAUCUGGGCCCACCAUUGCUUCUUCAUAAUUUGCAGGUUCACUGUUGUCUAACAACAUGAUUGAUAAGACGGGAUUACCGUACCACUCUGGAGCAGCGCGUGAUCUCGUCGACCUGCGUGGUUCAACAGAAACUUGAACUGGAGUUUCAUGAUCAUCAUCAUUAACUUCCUCCUCAACCGGCGUCGCAACGACAGAGGUCUCCCCUUGCCCUGCGCCACCAUCCAGAGGGAUGAGAGAUUCGACAACCUCGUCAAGUUCUAUCUGCCUCCCACUCAAUUCUCUCGAGAGAAACUCCUUCUCGAGAAAAGUUCCGUUCUUAGCAACAAACACUUUGCCCUCGGAUUUGAGAUAGAAGGUGUACCCAACUGUCUCUUUUGGGUAACCUAUGAAGACGCACCUUUCCGCUUUGGGUUCCAGCUUUUCAGGCUGAAGCUUUUUGACAUAAGCAUCACAUCCCCAAACUUUAAGAAACGACAACUUUGGCCUUUUGCCAUACCACAGUUCGUAUGGUGUCGUCUCAACGGAUUUCGAUGGUGCCCUAUUUAAAGUGAAUGCAGCUGUUUCUAAUGCAUAACCCCAAAAUGAUAACGGCAAAUCAGUAAGAGACAUCAUAGAUCGCACCAUCUCUAACAAAGUACGAUUACGACGUUCGGUAACACCAUUACGCUGUGGUGUUCCAGGCGGUGUUAACUGCGAAACAAUUCCACAUUGUCCUAAGUGAGUACCAAACUCGAAACUCAGAUAUUCACCCCCACGAUCAGACCGUAGGAACUUGAUCUUCUUGUUACGAUGAUUUUCCACUUCACUCUGAAAUUUCUUGAACUUUUCAAAUGUUUCAGACUUGUGCUUCAUCAAGUAGACAUAACCAUAUCUACUUAAAUCGUCAAUGAAGGUGAGAAAAUAACGAUAUCCGCCGCAUGCCUCCACGCUCAUUGGACCACACACAUCGGUGUGUAUGAUUUCCAACAAGUCACUUGCACGCUCCAUCGUUCCGGAGAACGGAGUCUUAGUCAUCUUGCCCAUGAGGCAUGGUUCGCACGUGUCAAGUGAAUCAAAGUCAAGUGACUCCAAAAGUCCAUCAGCAUGGAGUUUCUUCAUGCGCUUUACACCAAUAUGACCCAAGCGGCAGUGCCACAAAAAUAUGGCGCUAUCAUUGUUUACUCUAACUCUUUUGGUCUCAAUGUUAUGUAUAUGCGUAUCGCUAUCGAGAUUCAAUAUGAAAAAUCCUCUCACAUUCGGUGCAUGACCAUAAAAGAUGUUACUCAUAGAAAUAGAACAACCAUUAUUCUCUGACUUAAAAGAGUAACCGUCUCGCAAUAAACAAGAUCCAGAUAUAAUGUUCAUGCUCAACGCAGGCACUAAAUAACAAUGAUUUAAGUUCAUCACUAAUCCCGAUGGUAGUUGAAGUGACACUGUGCCGACGGCGAUUGCAUCAACCUUGGAACCGUUUCCUACGCGCAUCGUCACUUCGUCUUUCGCCAGCCUUCGUCUAUUCCGCAGUUCCUGCUUCGAGUUGCAAAUGUGAGCAACAGAACCGGUAUCGAAUACCCAGGCACUACUACGAGAGCCGGUUAAGUACACAUCAAUAACAUGUAUAUCAAAUAUACCUGAUUUUUCUUUGCCCGCCUUCUUAUCUGCCAGAUACUUGGGGCAAUUGCGCUUCCAGUGACCCAUACCCUUGCAAUAGAAGCACUCUGUUUCAGGCUUAGGUCCAGCCUUGGGUUUCUUCGGCGGAUUGGCAACAGGCUUGCCGCUCUUCUUCGAAUUGCCCUUCUUGCCUUUGCCGUUUCUCUUGAAACUAGUGGUCUUGCUCACCAUCAACACUUGAUGCUCUUUACGGAGUUCAGACUCUGCGACUUUCAGCAUCGCAAACAACUCGCCGGGAGACUUGUUCAUCCCUUGCAUGUUGUAGUUCAACACAAAGCCUUUAUCGCUUGGCGGCAGUGAUUGAAGGAUUCUGUCAGUGAUAGCUUCUUGCGGGAGUUCAAUCCCUAGUUCAGGUAGACGGUUUGAGUACCCAGACAUUUUGAGCACAUGUUCACUGACAGACGAGUUUUCCUCCAUCUUGCAAGCAUAGAAUUUAUCGGAGGUCUCAUACCUCUCGAUCCGGGCGUUCUUCUGAAAGAUAAACUUCAACUCCUGGAACAUCUCAAAUGCUCCAUGACGCUCAAAGCGACGUUAAAGUCCCGGUUCUAAGCCAUACAAGACUGCACAUUGAACUAUUGAGUAGUCCUCCUUACGUGCUAACCAAGCGUUCUUAACAUCCUGAUCAGCCGUAGCGGGUGGUUCAUCUCCUAGCGCAGCAUUAAGGACAUAAUCCUUCUUUCCAGCUUGUAAGAUUAGCUUAAGAUUACGAGCCCAGUCUAAAAAGUUGCUUCCAUCAUCUUUCAACUUAGCUUUCUCUAGGAAUGUAUUAAAAUUCAGGAUGACACUUGCGUGAGCCAUGAUCUACAACACAAAUAUAUUCAAAGUGGACUUAGACUAUGUUCAAGAUAAUUAGAGUUCAACUUAAUCAAAUUAUAUGAUAAACUCCCACUCAAAAAGUACAUCUCUCUAGUCAUUUGAGUGGUUCAUGAUCCACUUACACUAUCCCAAGUCCGAUCAUCACGUGAGUUGAGUAUAGUUUCAGUGGUAAGCAUCCCUAUGCGAAUCAUAUCAACUAUAUGAUUUAUGAUCGACCUUUCGGUCUCAUGUGUUCCGAGGCCAUGUCUGCACAUGCUAGGCUCGUCAAGCUUAACCCGAGUGUUCCGCGUGCGCAACUGUUUUGCACCCGUUGUAUGUGAACGUUGAGUCUAUCACACCCGAUCAUCACGUGGUGUCUCGAAACGACGAACUGUAGCAACGGUGCACAGUCGGGGAGAACACAAUUUCGUCUUGAAAUUUUAGUGAGAGAUCACCUCAUAAUGCUACCGUCAUUCUAAGCAAAAUAAGGUGCAUAAAAGGAUUAACAUCACAUGCAAUUCAUAAGUGACAUGAUAUGGCCAUCAUCUCGUGCUUCUUGAUCUCCAUCACCAAAGCACCGGCACGAUCUUCUUGUCACCGGCGCCACACCAUGAUCAUCCAUCAAUGUGUUGCCAUCGUGGUUGUCGUGCUACUUAUGCUAUUACUACUAAAGCUACAUCCUAGCAAAAUAGUAAACGCAUCUGCAAGCACAUAUGUUAGUAUAAAGACAACCCUAUGGCUCCUGCCGGUUGCCGUACCAUCGACGUGCAAGUCGAUAUUUCUAUUACAACAUUAUCAUCUCAUACAUCCAAUAUAUCACAUCACAUCAUUGGCCAUAUCACAUCACAAUCAUACCCUGCAAAAACAAGUUAGACGUCCUCUAAUUUUGUUGUUGCAUGUUUUACGUGGUGACCAAGGGUAUCUAGUAGGAUCGCAUCUUACUUACGUAAACACCACAACGGAGAUAUAUGAGUUGCUAUUUAACCUCAUCCAAGGACCUCCUCGGUCAAAUCCGAUUCAACUAAAGUUGGAGAAACCGUCACUUGCCGGUCAUCUUUGAGCAAAGGGGGUUACUCGUAACGAUGAAACCAGUCUCUCGUAAGCGUACGAGUAAUGUCGGUCCAAGCCGCUUCAAUCCAACAAUACCGCGGAAUCAAGAAAAGACUAAGGAGGGCAGCAAAACGCACAUCACCGCCCACAAAACCUUUUGUGUUCUACUCGAGAAGACAUCUACGCAUGAACCUAGCUCAUGAUGCCACUGUUGGGAAACGUCGCAUGGGAAACAGAAAUUUUCCUACGCGCACGAAGACCUAUCAUGGUGAUGUCCAUCUACGAGAGGGGAUGAGUGAUCUACGUACCCUUGUAGAUCGUACAACAGAAGCGUUAGAGAACGCGGUUGAUGUAGUGGAACGUCCUCACGUCCCUCGAUCCGCCCCGCGAACAAUCCCGCGAUCAGUCCCACGAUCUAGUACCGAACGGACGGCACCUCCGCGUUCAGCACACGUACAGCUCGACGAUGAUCUCGGCCUUCUUGAUCCAGCAAGAGAGACGGAGAGGUAGAAGAGUUCUCCGGCAGCGUGACGGAGCUCCCGAGGUUGGUGAUGAUCUCGUCUCAGCAGGGCUCCGCCCGAGCUCCGCAGAAACGCGAUCUAGAGGAAAAACUAUGGAGGUAUGUGGUCGGGCAGCCGUGAGAAAGUCGUCUCAAAUCUGCCCUAAAAGCCCCAUAUAUAUAGGAGGAGGGAGGGGGACCUUGCCUUGGGGUCCAAGGGACUCCCAAGGGGUCGGCCGAGCCAAGGGGGGGAGGACUCCCCCCCCCCAAACCGAGUUGGACUUGGUUUGGUGGGAGGAGUCCCCCUUCCUUCCCACUUCUUCCCUCUUUUUUUUCUUUUCCUUUGAUUUUCUUUCUCUUGGCGCAUAGGCCCCUUUGGGGCUGUCCCACCAGCCCACUAAGGGCUGGUGUGUCUCCCCAAAGCCUAUGGGCUUCCCCGGGGUGGGUUGCCCCCCCCCCCCGGUGAACUCCCGGAACCCAUUCGUCAUUCCCGGUACAUUCCCGGUAACUCCGAAAACCUUCCGGUAAUCAAAUGAGGUCAUCCUAUAUAUCAAUCUUCGUUUCCGGACCAUUCCGGAAACCCUCGUGACGUCCGUGAUCUCAUCCGGGACUCCGAACAACAUUCGGUAACCAACCAUAUAACUCAAAUACGCAUAAAACAACGUCGAACCUUAAGUGUGCAGACCCUGCGGGUUCGAGAACUAUGUAGACAUGACCCGAGAGACUCCUCGGCCAAUAUCCAAUAGCGGGACCUGGAUGCCCAUAUUGGAUCCUACAUAUUCUACGAAGAUCUUAUCGUUUGAACCUCAGUGCCAAGGAUUCGUAUAAUCCCGUAUGUCAUUCCCUUUGUCCUUCGGUAUGUUACUUGCCCGAGAUUCGAUCGUCAGUAUCCGUAUACCUAUUUCAAUCUCGUUUACCGGCAAGUCUCUUUACUCGUUCCGUAAUACAAGAUCCCGCAACUUACACUAAGUUACAUUGCUUGCAAGGCUUGUGUGUGAUGUUGUAUUACCGAGUGGGCCCCGAGAUACCUCUCCGUCAUACGGAGUGACAAAUCCCAGUCUUGAUCCAUACUAACUCAACUAACACCUUCGGAGAUACCUGUAGAGCAUCUUUAUAGUCACCCAGUUACGUUGCGACGUUUGAUACACACAAAGCAUUCCUCCGGUGUCAGUGAGUUAUAUGAUCUCAUGGUCAUAGGAAUAAAUACUUGACACGCAGAAAACAGUAGCAACAAAAUAACACGGUCAACAUGCUACGUCUAUUAGUUUGGGUCUAGUCCAUCACGUGAUUCUCCCAAUGACGUGAUCCAGUUAUCAAGCAACAACACCUUGUUCAUAAUCAGAAGACACUGACUAUCAUCGAUCAACUGGCUAGCCAACUAGAGGCAUGCUAGGGACGGUGUUUUGUCUAUGUAUCCACACAUGUAAAUGAGUCUUCAUUCAAUACAAUUAUAGCAUGGAUAAUAAACUAUUAUCUUGAUACAGGAAUUAUAAUAAUAACUAUACAUUUAUUAUUGCCUCUAGGGCAUAAUUCCAACAGAACCUGUGAUGAGGAAGACAUAAAAGCGACAGACUGCAUAAUAAAGUUCUUUAUCACAGGAGGCAAUAUAAAGUGACGUUCCUCCGCACUAAGAGGACACGCAUCCAAACCUCAAAAGUGCAUGACAACCUGUGCUUCCCUCUGCGAAGGGCCUAUCUUGUACCUUUACUUUUUGCCCUUGGAAGAGUCAUGGUGAUCUUCACCAAUUCCUUAUUUUACCUUUGUCUUGGCUACCGUCACAUGCUAGUGAAAGAUCUAUAUUCAUAUAUCAACUAGGAGAUGAGUACGUAUGCUUUGUUAUUGUUGACUUUACCCUUGAGGUAAAUGGUUGGGAGGCAAAACUAUAAGCCCCUAUUUUUCUCUGUGUCCAGCUGAAACUUUGAUACCAUGAGUACCACGUGAGUUGUAACAAUUGUGGAAAACAAAAGAGAUGAUUUAGUAUGUGGGUUUGCUUUACAAGCUAUUAUUUGACUCUUUCUGCUGUUAUGAUAAAUUGCAAUUGCUUCAAUGACUAUGGACUGUUGUUGGCUAUUUCUGGUAAGGUUUUUGUUUCAUGCUUUGCUUUGUGAGGGAAUUGUUACAUUCCCAUAAGAAUCUUUAUGAUGUAUUGAUGUUCUAUGUGUGAUCAUGAUGCCCUCAUGUUCGUGUUAUGUUUUAAUGACACCUUCAUCCCUAAACAUGCGGACAUGUUUAUGGAUCUUGGUUUUCGCUUGAGGACAAGCGAGGUCUAAGCUUGGGGGACUUGAUACGUCCAUUUUGCAUCAUGCUUUCAUGUUGAUAUUUAUCGCUUUAUGGACUGUUAUAUUACUUUGUGGUACCAUACUUAUGCCUUUUCUCUCUUAAUUUGAAAGGUUUAUUUGAAGAGGGAGAAUACCGGCAGCUGGAAUUCUGGACUGAAAAAGGAGCAACUCUGAGUCCUCUAUUCUGCGCAACUCCAGAUGCCCUGAAAAUCAACGUGGAAUUUUUUGGGAAUAUAUAAAAAAUAGUGGGCGAAAGAAGUGCCAGGAGCCCACAAGCCUGGUAGCCGCCACCUACCCCCUGGCGGAGGCUACAGGGCUUGUGGGCACCCUCGUGGCCCACUGGCUCCCCUCUUUUGCUAUAUGAAGGGUUUUGUCCAAGAAAAAAUCAGGGUGGAGCUUUUUCAUGGAUUCUCCGCCGCCACGAGGCGGAACUUGAGCAGAACCAAUCUAGAGCUCCGGCAGGAUGACCCUGCCGGGGAAACUUCCCUCCCGGAGGGGGAAAUCGUCGCCAUCGUCAUCACCAACACUCCUCUCGUCGGAGGGGAGUCAUCUCCAUCAACAUCUUCAUCAGCACCAUCUCCUCUCCAAACCCUAGUUCAUCUCUUGUAACCAAUCUCUGUCUCGCGACUCCGAUUGGUACUUGUAAGGUUGCUAGUAGUGUUGAUUACUCUUUGUAGUUGAUGCUAGUUGGAUUACUUGGUGGAAGAGUUUAUGUUCAGAUCCUUGAUGCUACUCAUUACACCUCUGAUCAUGAUUAUGAUUAUGCUUUGUGAGUAGUUACUUUUGUUCCUGAGGACAUGGGAUAAGUCGUGCUAAUAAUAGUCAUGUGAAUUUGGUAUUCGUUCGGUAUUUUGAUAUGUUGUAUGUUCUCUUUUCCUCUAGUGGUGUUAUGUGAACGUCGACUACAUAACACUUCACCAUAUUUGGGCCUAGAGGAAGGCAUUGGGGAGUAGUAAGUCGAUGAUGGGUUGCUAGAGUGACAGAAGCUUAAACCCGAGUAUAUGCGUUGCUUCGUAAGGGGCUGAUUUAGAUCCACUAGUUUAAUGCUAUGGUUAAACGUUGUCUUAAUUCUUCUUUCGUAGUUGCGGACGCUUGCGAGAGGGGUUAAUCAUAAGUGGGAUGCUUGUCCAAGUAAGGUCAGUACCCAAGCGCCGGUCCACCCACAUAUCAAACUAUCAAAGUAACGAACGCGAAUCACAUGAACAUGAUGAAACUAGCAUGACAUAAAUUCCCGUGUGUCCUCGGGAGCAUUUUUACUCGUAUAAGACUUUGUUCAGGCUUGUCCCUUGCUACAAAAGGGAUUGGACCACUUUGCUGCACAGUUGCUACUAUUUGUUACUUGUUACUUUUCACUUGCUACGUUUCACCUCACUACACCAUCACUUGUUACCGCUACUUUCAGUGCUUGCAGUUAUUACCUUGCUGAAAACCGUUUAUCAAAGCCUUCCGCUCCUCGUUGGGUUCGACACUCUUACUUAUCGAAAGGACUACGAUUGAUCCCCUAUACUUGUGGGUCAUCAUUCGAUCAAAGAAUUGAAGGAUAAAGAAGACAACACUUAGAUCCUACGCGUUAUGCCUAGCUAGGGGCGUAAAACGAUAGCGCUUGCUGGGAGGCAACCCAACUUGUACCUUUUUGCUUUUUGGUCUUCUUGAUGUUUUCAAUAAAAUACACAAUUAUAACUCUGUUUAGAUGUAUUUUUAUGGUUUAAAUUAGUGUUUGUGCCAAGCAAGGCCUUUGGGGUGAUUUGGGUGAGAGUUGAUUUGAUCUUGCUGAAAAAUAGAAACUUUUGCGCUCACGAAAUUAUUUUUCAUUUUUAACAGGAGAGCGCUUUUGAGUUGAUUCUUUUUGCAGAACAUUAAUAAAGAAAUUAUUCACGACGUCCUAAGUUUUCAUAAUUUGUGGAGUUACAAAAGUAUUCGAAGUUGUUAGAUUGCUACAGACUGUUCUGUUUUUGACAAAUUCUGUUUUCUUUACGUUGUGCGCUUGUUUUGAUGAUUCUAUGGUUUUCUUUGAUGAGUUUUUGCCAUAGAAAAGUUGAAAUACAGUAGAUAUAAUGCAAAAAUAAAAUAUGAAGAGAUUUUCAACAGUACUUAUAGUAGUGGUUUGCUUUCUUAUACUAACGGAUCUCACGAAGGUUUUGUUUAGUUUUGUGUGAUUGAAGUUUUCAAGUUUUGGGUGAUCUUACGAUGGAUGAAGGAAUAAGGAUUAUCAAAAGGCUAAGCUUGGGGAUGCCCGAGGCAACCCAAGAUAAUAUUCAAGAAGUAGCAAGCAACUAAGCUUGGGGAUGCCCCCGAGUGGCAUCCCCUCUUUCUUCUAACAACCAUCAGUAUUUUACUUGAAACUAUAUUUUUAUUCGUCACAUAUUAUGAGUUUUGCUUGGAGAGUCUUGUAUGAUAUGAGUCUUUGCUUGUUUUUCUUUUUGUUUUAAGUCUUGAAUCCUUGCUGGAAAAACCUUUAUCAGAGAGCCAAAAAUUAUGCUAUGCUUGCUCCUAUGCUUCACUUAAACUUUUAGAGCCAUGGAUUUGCUCUAGUACUUCACUUAUAUAUUUUUAGCACGGUGUGAUUUGUUAUUUUUGAAGAAAUGCUCUCAUGCUUCACUUAGAUUUAUUUGGGAGUUAGUAAUUUUUUAAAGAAAUUCUCUCUUGCUUCACUUAGAUUAUUUUGAGAGAAAGAAAAAUUAUGCUCUUGUUCUUCACUUAUAUUUGUUUGAGCUUAUUAAAAGUAACAUAUGAAAACAAUCCCAAAGUGAUAGAUAUCCAAGGAGGAUAUAAUAAAAAAAUUCAUGAAGAUUAUUGCACAAAAUAAACUUGAUUCCUAGUAAUGGUUUUGAGAUAUGACGAUAUGAUAUGUGAGUCAUGUUGAUGAGUAAUUGUGCUUUAGUAAGAAUAUUGAUGUUAAGGUUUGUGAUUCCCUAUGCAAGCACGAAAGUCAAUAGUUAUGCAAUGAAAUUUAUAUCCUACCUGUGGUGCAUUAUUCGGUGUUACUUAUGCUUAAUGCUUUGGUACGAGAUUAUUCGUUUCUUGGUUGGUCGCUUCUCAAUCUUUUUGCUAGCCUUCAUUUUGCACUAAGUAUGAUCACAACUUGUGCAUCCAAAACCCUUUAAGUCAGUUUUGCCAUAUGAGUCCACUAUACCUACCUAUAUGCGGUAUUUCCAUGCCGUUCUAAGCAAAUUUGCAUGUGCCAUCUCUAAUUUUCAAAAUAAUUUUCUCUUUUGUGUGCUCUACCGCUCGCGAGGCGGUGAGGGGUGGCCAAUAUUUUCCAUGCUAGAUGUGUUAUUCUCACGAUGAGUGUUUAUUCACUUGUCAUUGCACGAGAGUACGACAAAAGUAUUAGGGAUGCCCAGUCGCGAAAUGAAAAAAUGAAUUUACUUUUUGUUGUCAAAUAAUAAAUUUCUUGAAAAGUGUUGGUAUGGAGGGCACCCGUGGAUACGGACAAGCCAUGUAAUGUGAAAAUAAUGGUGGAAAAAGGAAUAAACUUUAUUUUCUGUUUGGGAACCGCCUAUGAUGUAUCUAGCAUGGGAAGUGCUGGGAGCUCUAAGUCGUUUUCGUUGGUGGGAAAAGUAUGCCUCCCAAAAUGCUUUUAUCUCUCAAUUUUUGCUUUGAUCUCUCGCACCUCUACAAAUCCCUACUUUCCUUUGCGAAGGGCCUUUUUUUUACUUAUGAAAUUUUUAUUUUGAAUUUUAGUCUCGAUCUUCUCUCAUAAAGCACCAACUAAGGGGCACUAUGAUCGUAUUUGAGCAUUGGGUGUAGCUAAUAUUCGAGUGUGUUUCAUGAAUGGAUCAAUGUCUGAGCAUAAUGGGCUAGGGAUAACUUGCUUUAGUAUUCAUAUUUUGAAAGACAUGUUUGCUUGUUGGUAUGCUUGAGUAUUAAAAGUCUUCAUGACAAAACUAGACUAUUGCUUUGAACCAUAUAAAAUUCCAAAUGUCCAUGCUAUAAAGAAAAGAAAUGUGAUGAACAAGUUAGGCAGCAUUCCACAUCAAAAAUUCUGUUUUUAUCAUUUACCUACUCAAGGAUGAGCAGGAAUUAAGCUUGGGGAUGCUGAUACAUCUCCAACGUAUCUAUAAUUUUUUAUUGUUCCAUGUUGUUAUAUUAUCAUUUUUGGAUGUUUUACAAUCAUUUUAUAGUCAUUCUACAUCGUUUUUUAGUACUAACCUAUUGACAUAGUGCCCAGUGCCAGUUGAUUUUUUCUGCAUUUUUUUACAUCGCAGAAAAUCAAUACCAAACGGAGUCCAAACACAGUGAAACUUUUUGUGGACUUUUUGGGCCUGAAGACAUCCAAUGGGCCAAGAACGCACCUGAGGGGAGCACAAUCCACCAGGGCACGCCCCGGUGGGUUGUGCCCUCCUCGUUGGCUUCCCGCACCGCCUCUUUGCUCUAUAAAUAACCUAAUAUUCCAGAAACCCUAAUGGGGGCGAAAAUCAAUUCCAGUCGCCGCAGAGUCCAGAAACACCAAAUCCAAUCUAAACACCAUCACGGAGGGGUUCAUCAUGUCCAUUGGCGCCUCUCUGACGAUGCGUGAGUAGUUCUUUGUAGACCCGCGGGUCCGUAGUUAGUAGCUAGAUGGCUUCCUCUCUCUCUCUUGAUUAUCAAUACAGUGGUCACUUGGAGAUCCAUAUAUUGUAAGUCUUUUUCCGGUGUGUUUGUUGGGAUCCGAUGAACUUUGAGUUUAUGAUUAGAUCUAUGUUUUUAUCCAUGAAAGUUAUUUGAGUCUUCUUUGAUCUCUUAUAUGCGUGAUUGAUUAUAGCCUCGUAUUUCUAAUUUGAUAUUUGGGUUUUGUUUGGCCAACUUGAUCUAUUUAUCUUGCAAUGGAAAGAGGUGCUUUGUGAUGGGUUCGAUCUUACGGUGUUUGAUCCCAGUGACACAAAGGGAAACGACACGUAUGUAUUGUUGCUAUUAAGGAUAACAAGACGAGGACUAUUUCUACAUAAAUAGAUCUUGUCUACAUCAUGUCAUCGUUCUUAUUGCAUUAUUUUGUUUUUUCCACGAACUUAAUACACUAGAUGCAUGUUGGAUAGCGGUCAAUGUGUGGAGUAAUAGUAAUAGAUACAGGCAGGAGUCGGUCUAUUAAUCUUGGACGUGAUGCCUAUAUAAUGAUCAUUGCCUGGAUAUCGUCAUGAUUAUUUGAAGUUCUAUCAAUUGCCCAACAGUAAUUGUUUUCCCACCGUUUGUUAUUUUUUCUCGAGAGAAGCCACUAGUGAAACCUACGACCCCGGGUCUCUUUUCAUCAUAUUUGGCUUUGCGAUCUAUUUUCCUUUCCUUUUAUUUUAAGAUCUAUUAAAUCAAAAAUACAAAAAUACCUUGCUGCAAUUUAUUUGCUUACGCGAUCUAUUUAUCUUAUCUACCACUUUUACCUCAUUUUAUUUGUCUAUCUUGAGGCGGCGUAUCCGAAAGGGAUUGACAAUCCCUUUAACACGUCGGGUUGCGAGUAUUUGUUAUUUGUGUGCAGGUGUUGUUUACGUAGUGUGAGGAAGUUUCUCUACUAGUUCGAUAAUCUUGGUCUCUUCUCUGAAGAAAAUACCUACCAUCGCUAUACUGCGUCACCCCUUCUUUGUUGGGAAAAUACCGACAUAGCUCUAGCACACAUCACGAUGACUCGUACUACAAAGCUAGCCUCAAAACCAAGGACACAAGCAAGCACCUUGAUUGAUCUACAGUAGCGUACAUGCGUAGCUUUUUUUGUUUGAGCGGCCACAGACACACUUUUUCUGAGCGUGUAGCUGUACGUGAAUCGUGGUAGCUUUUCUUGUGCAUAUUGUUACAAAAAUACAAAUAAAACAAAUGAAGGGAGCUACAAACUGAUGAUGAAGUCAACUUAGAUAUAAGGUAUUAUCUUACAUUUAGAUGUGACAUAGUCGGACCUUAGCUUAAACUAUGUACAUGUCUUUUUGACGAAAAUGCCUUUUGAAGCUUGGCCUUCAUGGAGGCCGGUUUUUGAAAAACCUAAAAUUCAUCAAAAUUCAUAUUUUUAUAAUUAAAUAAAAUCUAAAAAAUAAAGAUAUACAUGAAGGCAUAACACACAUGUGUGUAAAUUUUUAAGGCGAAAUACGUUGAAAUGAGUGCUCUGCAAAAAAGACAAAGCCGAGUCUUUUUAACACAUGAUACUAUUUAUUCUUAAAGUCUAGAAAUUUUAUCUUUUUUGUAUGGGUCGCAUUUAAAGGUAUUUCAUCCUGAAUUUUUACAUACACAGAUAUCAUCCUUGUAUAGAUGGAUCUUUUUCAGAAUUUUUUAAAAUCAAAACGUCUCAAUUUUGAAUUUUUCAAAAAUAAAAAGGCUCCACCAAGCUCGGUCACCAAAACGUCAUAUUCUCUUUGAGUACUUGUUUUGGGAGCUGGCUUAUAAUCUUUUCUAAAGGAGCUCUUUUACGGUACCCUGGGUGAAAUAUCAGCCAUCCAAUCUUACUUAUCGAACGAUGACGAGUGAGUUAUACUGCUCAAUUUGAGAGAUGAAAUCGUGAACGGUAUAGCCUGCACUGCGCGGCUCGAGUCCUUCAGUAUAGACUUGGCGAGGGCAUUUUGGGAAGAAGAAAAAAACAGCCGCCCGCGAGGCCAGUUUGGCCCAUUCCACCCCAUCCCGUCCCUCCCAGUUCGCCUCCCAGUUCCCCACCACACUCACACUCGCUAGGGUUCCGGCCGCCGCCGUUGUGCGUUGCCCUUCCGCCCCCUACUCAUCGUAACCGCCGGCACCUCCCCCUCCUGCUCCCUCUCCUCGUCGUCGUCGCCACGCUGCGGGGAGCGGCGCCGGCCGCGGGCGUCGCGGAGUCGUGCGCUCACUAGGGUUUCGGCCACCACCGGCGUGUGUUGCCCUCCCUGCGCCGCACAGAUAGGGACCCAUGGCUCCUUCGGCUCGUCGCCGCCGGCACCUACUCCUCCUACUCUCGCUCCUCCUCCUCGCCGCCGCGCUGCGGGGAGCGGCGCCGGCCGCGGGCGUCGCGGAGUCGUGCGCUCACUAGGGUUUCGGCCACCACCGGCGUGUGUUGCCCUCCCUGCGCCGCACAGAUAGGGACCCAUGGCUCCUUCGGCUCGUCGCCGCCGGCACCUACUCCUCCUACUCUCGCUCCUCCUCCUCGCCGCCGCGCUGCGGGGAGCGGCGCCGGCCGCGGGCGUCGCGGAGUCGUGCGCUCACUAGGGUUUCGGCCACCACCGGCGUGUGUUGCCCUNUGCAGGGAGUUGCCUGAAUAUUCCUGGGGCUGGGGGAGUUCAGAAACAGUUUCGGGAAGAGAUGAUGGAUUGUGCAGUAGUAUUUGAUUGUGAUGCGUUCCUGUCAAAUGGUUUGCGGCCAGUCAGGAGCUCUAACAUGACGACUUCGAAGCUAUAUACAUCGCUCUUCAGUGAGUAUUGGCCAGACAUGGCUACCUCAGGUGCCCUAUAUCCUGAGUUUUCUUCUGAUUCCUGGAAUUGAUGCUACGCAAGUAAGUAAUUGUUGAUAUAAAUGUUUGCUCCUAAAUUAUGGUCAUUAGCAUUUGCAUUGUGAAAUGUGCAGAACACCAAACUCAGUAUCAUCUCACUUGUUUGAUCCGAUACUAUCUAGCCUUGCAUCCAACAAACAAGAAGUAAUAGUUAUACGAUCCUAGCUAACUUUAUUAUGUUACUUGAAAAGCAACUCAUGCUUGAUUCACUAAAAUUAUCCUUGAUUAAAUUGACGUCGUGCUAUUUGAAUAUUUAAUUUUGGAUAUAAUAGCAUAAAUAAAAUAGUAAUAUGCAACAUUUUCGGCUGCAAAAUGACAACUAAUUCCAGCAUUAUCCUUUGAUGAUGUUAAUCUUAAAUUAUGUGAUAUUCCUGCAGGUUGUCAGGAAGACUGAGGAUAUUGUGCAUGACAUUACCCCAGAAUCUGAAAGGUGGGGGUUCAGCUCACUAUCCAGUAAAACGUUUAAUGACUUAAAAUUCUUGUGGACCAUAGAUGGCGAACAUGUUUCAUGUAGGUACCUGCAGAAUUCACAUGAUUGUUACUGACAUGAAUUUUAUUUCUAGAUUAACACGAAGGAUUAACGCUGGUGUCUACUGCUCGGUCUUGGAAGCAACGUCUACUGCUCGUCCACUACGUAGGUUGGUCGUUUUUGGCACAGGAGGCCAUGAUGGCUGGCCGCCCUGCCUACCCUGUAGGAUUCCAGUCGACGCCAACAUUCAUGGCGUCUUGAUUUCCAUGUAAGUAGCUUCUCCCUAAUCCAUGCUGGUAAAGUCCCAGAGAACUAAUUAUUGUUUAAGUCGUGUACAUUUCUGCAGCAGGAAAGGAAAUGCACCCGAGAGGUUGUUGUUUCUUAAGCUUAGAUUAGUAAUACUAAGACCUGCCAUCCUUAUGCUUGACUCGUUGACUAGGCAAUCAGUAAUUGACCCAUUAAGUUUAGAAGUGUUUAAAUCUUGGUGCUCCAAAGUCCAAUGGUAGUGGGCCAACUGAAUUGUUCUGACUGAGAUCCAGGCCGGUUAAAUUGAGCCUUAUAUUCAUGGGAAGCUUAGGUAUUGGACCACCAAGCUGGUCAGAACUGAAAUCCAUUUCUGUUCCCCUCAUAAAUUUCCCCUAGAAGCAUAGAUUUUCAUCUUCUAACGACAACUGUAAGAAACACAAGCAUAAAUGCUAUCUAUAUGCGUCCAUGCAAUUACACGUGUAUUCAUUUCAACCGAUUCACAUAACAAACACAAAAUUCAUUGUAAAACUUUCUAAAGUUCAAUCCCAACAUAAAAAAUACGAGCAUAAAGUUUAAACAAAUAUUAAUCCUAAUUUUAUUGUGGAAAAAUAGCAAAUUCUAACAACUUUCAACUCUCUUCAUCCUUCAUUAAUGACUUUGACUAUCUUCUACUCCUCGUCGUUUCGCCGUCCUUUUGAGUUGAAUGUAGACUCCACUAGGAGGGCGCUGAGUUGUUUCCUGAACCUGGGGAUGUCAUCCUGCAUAAUAGGUUGAGUUAGUUUGACAAUUGGAUGUGCAUUCUCAAGUGCCGGCAAAAGUUGGGUACAUUUCAUGCAUGCACAUCAUGUGUAACUCAUCGGUGUCGGUAUGGACGGAAGGGGUGUUACAAUGCGAUCUUGCUACUCCAAUUCGUCAAACGGACCUAAAUUUUUUUCACGCUUCCUAAUGAACUUCACAAUAAGGCACGUCAAAUUUUUCUAUUUUCUGACGAUCCGUGUUUUUUCUGUGAAUUUGUAUGCAAAAACAGCCCAGAACUGAUGCCGGACGUGACGCAACGUGCGUUUGUUCUUCGAUUUCGUUGAAAUUUUGCGUGACACAAUUGGAUGUGCAUUCUCAAGUGCCGGCAAAAGUUGGAUACAUUUCAUGCACGCAUGCAUGCACAUCAUGUGUAACCCAUCGGUGUCGGUAUGGACAGAAGGGGUGUUACAAUGCGAUUUUGCUACUCCAAUUCGUCAAACGGACCUAAAUUUUUUUCACGCUUCCUAAUGAACUUCACAAUAAGGCACGUCAAAUUUUUCUAUUUUCUGACGAUCCGUGUUUUUUAUGUGAAUUUGUAUGCAAAAACAGCCAAGAACUGAUGCCGGACGUGACGCAACGUGCGUUUGUUCUUCGAUUUCUUUGAAAUUUUGCGUGACACAAUUGGAUGUGCAUUCUCAAGUGCCGGCAAAAGUUGGAUACAUUUCAUGCAUGCAUGCAUGCAAUGUAUCCAACUUUUGCCGGCACUUGAGAAUGCACAUCCAAUUGUGUCACGCAAAAUUUCAANNNNNNNNNNNNNNNNNNNNNNNNNNNNNNNNNNNNNNNNAAUUUUUUUCACGCUUCCUAAUGAACUUCACAAUAAGGCACGUUAAAUUUUUCUAUUUUCUGACGAUCCAUGUUUUUUCUGUGAAUUUGUAUGCAAAAACAGCCAAGAACUGAUGCCGGACGUGACGUUCGACAUGUAUUUUAGUGUUUUUACUUCAAAAAUACAUAAAAAAUAUAUAAAAUGCCAUAAAUCAAUGAAAUUUGGCGUCCAUUCUUUCCAGUAUGAUACAAUGUAUUAGUAUUAGUAUUAUUCUUUCCAGUAUGAUACAAUGUUUUGUCUGUAAUUCAGAUUUUUUUUAUAUGUUAAAAAUGGUAUUUUGGUAAUAAAAUUCCGAGCCUAGCAACCGCAAGUAAACAGCGCCUAGCAACCGCAAGUAAACAGAGAACACGUCCAGGAGUGAGGUUAACACGAAGCAAGACAACCGAGUUUUGUACCAUUUCCUUUCAACAUUUUUUAACAGCUGAUGUUGAGAUCAAAAAUCUUGAAUGACAAAAUGGCCCAGAAAAUAAAAACAUAACCAAAGAGCACAUAAUAGGGAAGGCAUAUCAUCAAAACAUCGGAUGAUGCCAAGCAAAACCAAAUCUUAGGUAGUGCUGCAUCUUCACAACAUCUUGUAAUGUCAAACCUGCCUGCUGCUGCUGCCUAAAGAGAGGAAUGGAACUGAUGCCUCCCUCGAAUCACACAAAGAUGGAUCCAGCUCCAGGUGCAUAACCACAACAGGAGAGCACAAGACCUUCAAAGACGGGUCCCCUCACCGCCCCAAACUUUCAGAAAACGUCAUGUAAACAACUGUUCGAAGGCUCGCAAAAAUGCAUAAUACAGCGGCGCACAUCACCAGAAUACUGAAUCUUCAGACCAAAAGUACAUUCGACAGAGACUGAACUAGCAUAAAAACGAAGCAACAGAAGAUGGCGGUCCGAGCACAGGACCCUACAGAAAGACGACUAGGCUAGCAACUUCGCCACUCGGAUCCAGGACAAUGACUCCAUUGGACUAGAGCCACCAUUUCUACCAGCAGCAGAGCCUGAAAGAGAGGGAGGGACUACCAAGGAGCUAAACUAACAGCAAACAUCCAUCAUCGAUCGGUGACACUGGCAAACAGAGAAGCAUCAAACGGCGACGUUCCAGAGACCACCCUCCCCCUGCUGCUG
rnacentral:lncRNA from 1 species